rnacentral:rRNA from 1 species
AUUGAACGCUGGCGGUAUGCUUAACACAUGCAAGUCGAACGGUAGCAGGCCUUCGGGCGCUGGCGAGUGGCGGACGGGUGCGUAAUGCAUAGGAAUCUGCCUAUUAGUGGGGGAUAACGUGGGGAAACCCACGCUAAUACCGCAUACGAUCUACGGAUGAAAGCUGGGGACCUUCGGGCCUGGCGCUAAUAGAUGAGCCUAUGUUGGAUUAGCUAGUUGGUAGGGUAAAGGCCUACCAAGGCGACGAUCCAUAGCUGGUCUGAGAGGAUGAUCAGCCACACUGGGACUGAGACACGGCCCAGACUCCUACGGGAGGCAGCAGUGGGGAAUAUUGGACAAUGGGCGAAAGCCUGAUCCAGCAAUACCGCGUGUGUGAAGAAGGCCUGAGGGUUGUAAAGCACUUUCAAUGGGAAGGAAUACCUGCCGGUUAAUACCCGGUAGACUGACAUUACCCAUACAAGAAGCACCGGCUAACUCCGUG